CUGUCCAGUCCUGCAGAUUUGCCUUGUACAACAUUAGGAGGAUCAGGCCCUUCCUAUCGGAGCUACACAACUCCUUCUCCAAGCUCUUUGUUCUAUCCAGACUGGACUAUUGUAAUGCUCUCUUGGCAUGUCUUCCAGCAUCAACUGUAAAACCUCUGCAACUGAUCCAGGAAGCUGCUGGAAGAGUGGUCUUUAAUGCAUGUUACAAAUGAAAACUUGCAUUUUUGGCACUCACAUCAAAUUCAAGCAGGGAAAUCACCUAAGGAAAUCACGGCGCAGAACCGCCGUCAUUGUGUUAAGCCCGCCCACCAACUCUAUACACGAUGUGAUUGGCCGGACCAGAGUUUGAUUUUUACACUUCGCAAGUCAACGGAGAGUUGCUAGACCACACUUUGCUGCAAAAUAAUUUUUGCUGCCGCUAGGGAGGCAAAAAAUGCUCAAAACUGAACAGUAUGAUCAGAUCUCAUGAGUCAACGGGCAAGAUAAAGCUGACAGUGGCUGCAUUCCCAGACCCUUCUCCACCAAUCAGAGGGACGAUGAUUAAGCCUGAUUAGCCAAAAUCAAAGCUGGCGCUCAACCCUGACUGUCUGCAAUCAAUGUCUGGCUGACUCCUCCCGCAGAUAUGGGCCUAAACAGCGUUGAGAUACUAUCGGCCUCCUACUGCCACAAGCUCUAAUCCCUCGGCAUUUCUGGACGCGCUCGGGAAGCCUGAGCAUCUCCCUUGAGCUGGACGCAUCCCAGCGAAGACUGCAAAUGGAUCUAAAGAGGAAUAAUUCAGAACUGGCUCCUCUCGUGGGGUUCUCCUGUCAGGGCUGUAAAAGCCUGGCUUUCUUUAAUCAAUGGCCAGACUGCAAUGAUAACAGGAUUAUGGGACCUGAUCCAACCCAGUGUGUUCUGGAGAGGGGGAGAGGUGCUACAAGGCCUGGAAAGGCAUCUGUGCCAAAAUUGGGCCCAAAAAAAAUACCAAUCACAAGGUGGCAAACGCAAUGGUUCAUGUCACUCAACAAGAGGACAAACGGCAGGAAGACGAUUGAUAUCCAUCCAAUCACGCGUUAAUCAGGAAUACCUCACCACUGAGCCAGAACCACCGACUGAGAGAUGGACAGAACGAGAGAAACUCAGAGGCAAAUG